AUUGAACGCUGGCGGCAGGCCUAACACAUGCAAGUCGAAUGGUAACAGGAAACAGCUUGCUGUUUCGCUGACGAGUGGCGGACGGGUGAGUAAUGUCUGGGAAACUGCCUGAUGGAGGGGGAUAACUACUGGAAACGGUAGCUAAUACCGCAUAACGUCGCAAGACCAAAGAGGGGGACCUUCGGGCCUCUUGCCAUCAGAUGUGCCCAGAUGGGAUUAGCUAGUAGGUGGGGUAACGGCUCACCUAGGCGACGAUCCCUAGCUGGUCUGAGAGGAUGACCAGCCACACUGGAACUGAGACACGGUCCAGACUCCUACAGGAGGCAGCAGUGGGGAAUAUUGCACAAUGGGCGCAAGCCUGAUGCAGCCAUGCCGCGUGUAUGAAGAAGGCCUUCGGGUUGUAAAGUACUUUCGGCGGGGAGGAAGGGAGUAAAGUUAAUACCUUUGCUCAUUGACGUUACCCGCAGAAGAAGCACCGGCUAACUCCGUG
rnacentral:rRNA from 1 species